UUCCUCCACUUUCUCUAUUAUUAAAACCUCAUCCUCUUUGAAACCGGCCCCUUUCUCAACUUGGCCGUGAAUUUCCUUCAUCUCCUUUAUUUUCUUGAAGAGAAAGAUUUGAUUGCAAUGCUUGAUCAAGAGAUUUUGAUGAAGUUUUUUCAUUGAUCCAUUGUUUAUGGAUCUCUAGAGAAGCCAAUAGUUCAUCAAUAGUCAUAGUACUAAGGUCUUUGGAUUCCUCGAUUGCUAUGACUACAUUAUCAAACUUCAAAUUUAGAGAACGAAGAAUUUUUUCUAUUACCUGCAAAUCUUUGAUCUUUUCUCCAUUGCACUUGAUAUUGUUCAUUAUAGUCAGGACUUAAGUAAAAUACUUCGAGAUUAACUCGCUAUCAAGCAUCUCCAAUAUUUCAAAUUCGCUUUUCAGCAUAGGCAGGUGAAUUCUCAUUCUCUUUUCGAUACCUCGAAAUGAAUUUUGAAGUACAUCCCAUGCUUCUCUUGCGUUUGUAAUAGAAGCAAUCUUUUCAAAAUUCCCUUCAUCUACUGUUUGAUAUAUGAGAUACAGGGCCUUCUGAUCUUUCUUCAUUGCUUUCUUGAGUGAUGCCUUUUUAGUUGCACUUAAUACGUAUUCAUCGGCUUUAGACGUAGGUUUUGUUCCGGUCUGGUGCAUGUUAGAUAUUUAAGGCUUCCAACCAAGCUCUUGAAAUAUGUAGGAUUGAUCAGCAAAUACAUGGAGACACCAGAUCAAUCCUAUCUUAAUGCAGCAAAAAGAAUACUCCGCUAUCUUAAAGGUACAAUUAGUGAAGGCU
rnacentral:lncRNA from 1 species